ACCUCGGUGGCACAAUUGGUGACACUGUUGCCUUGUGGCAAGAAGGUCCUGGGUUCAAAUCCCAGCCUGAGGUC